rnacentral:rRNA from 1 species
CGCAUCUGUGCAUGCAGCAUAUCAAUAAGCGGAGGAAAAGAAACUAACAAGGAUUCCCCUAGUAACGGCGAGAUGAAGCGGGAAGAGCUCAAAUUUGAAAUCUUAAAGGGUUUCCCUUUACGAAUUGUAGUUUAAAGAAGUGUUUUCUGUUGAGGUUUUGGUAAAAGUUCUUUGGAAUAGGACAUCAUAGAGGGUGAGAAUCCCGUAUUUGACCUUUACUUUCAACUUUGUGAUACACUUUCAAAGAGUCGGAUUGUUUGGGAAUGCAGUCCAAAAUGGGUGGUAAAUUUCAUCUAAAGCUAAAUAUUGGCGAGAGACCGAUAGCGAACAAGUACCGUGAGGGAAAGAUGAAAAGAACUUUGAAAAGAGAGUUAAACAGUACGUGAAAUUGUCAAAAGGGAAGCGUUUGACACCAGUGUUGUUUUUCUGAAAAUCAAUUAAAGAACUGUUUAUACUAAGUUGUUUAGACUUUAUCAGCUAACUGUUUAGUUUUGAGCUUUUCUUUAAUGCACUUUUCAGUUAACAAGUCAACAUCAAUUUCUUUUGCUGUAAAAAAGCUUGAGGAAGGUGGCUUGAGAUUCGUCUUAAGUGUUUAUAGCCUCUUGCCUAUGCAGUCGGAGAGAUUGAGGUCUGCAGCGUAGAUCCUUCGGGGCUAAAUGCAUUUGUGCUAAGUUAUAGCAUUUUAUAGACAACUUGUUGACUAUGAUUUGUCUUGUAGCUUACUCGCUUAUGCUAUUUUACCUACGCUUAGGAUGUUGAUAGUCACAGCGUGUAC